UGCGCUUGUCUGUGAUAACCUCGUGCCGAUCGCACGUCCCCGUGACGGCAACAACUCAUUCGGAUGUCUGCCCUAUCAACUUUCGAUGCUAUUUUCCGCACCUACCAUGGUGACCACGGGUAACAGGGAAUCAGGGUUCGAUUCCAGAGAGGGAGCCUGAGGAACGGCUACCACAUGCAAGGAAGGCAGCAGACGUGCAAAUUACCCACUCCCAACGCGGGGAGGUAGUGACGACAAAUAACAAUACACUACUCUUUCGAGGCCCUGUAAUUGUAAUGAGUCCACUUUAAAUCCUUUAACUUGGAUCAAUUGGAGGGCAAGUCUGGUGCAGAGCGACUGACCCGGGCGUG